AAUUCUUAAUAUGAAAAAGACAAGAAAUAUGUACCCUAAAACCAAACAUUGUUGAUCCAACACCAAUCAAGAAAGAUUAAGAUUGAACUGGGCGAUGUCGGAUUCUCGGAGUCUAACGCUAUAAAAAUGGCGAGGACAAGCUGAGAAAGCUAGCAAGUAGGCUCUUUUCCGCCAUCGGUGUUUGCGCUUACUUGACCGCCAUUACCGACUUCCAAUAUCCGGGAUUCUCGACACUGAUGAGAAUGUUAUAAUCGCCUUGAAGAGAAGCCCUCGUGUCUUAAUUGUCAUACUACGAUCUUGGUGUCUAAUAUUGGCGUUUUGAGUGCUAAUGCUGUUCCAAAACUUCAUAUUAGGAGGCUAAUCACGCUGCAGGCUGCAGCUUGAGCCGUUAAUGGUUAAAGUUGACUUGUUUGACGAGGUUCGAGAAGUUAAAUAUAUGGGGUUUAAACCAUUUCGCUACGCCUUUUUAUAUGUUCUCCUUGCAAUGUCAAAGAUGAGCAGAAGAGAUUGGGAAAGCAAGAAGAAGCUCUUGAUGAGCUUUGGCUGGUCAGAACAAGAAUUUCUGUUGGCAUUAAGAAAGCAGCCACUAUUCAUGCUAACAUCCAAGAAGAAGAUGCAGGAAUUAAUGGAGUUUUAUGUGACCAAAGCUCGUUUGGAGCCUUCAGAUAUCGAUAAGUACACUGAAUCUUCUUCUGGCUAGUUUAAAGGAAAAAAUCAUUCCAAGAUGUUCCGUUAUGGAAGUGCUAAUGUCAAAGGAGAUGAUUAAGAAGCAUGUAAGUGUUGCCAGUGCAUUAAAUAUGACUAAAAAGAAGUUCGAGAAGAGGUAUUUCACUAGUUUCAAGGAAGAUUAUCCUGAACUGCUCGAUGCAUACCAGGUUCAGACCACAUUUCCAGGAAGUAGUUACCAAAUGUGACAGUUGAUUUGAUGAAGGAAGCUUUGAGCACGAAAUAGAUGAGCUGCUCCUGUAGUUUUCAAAGAUGGGAGUUUGGAGACCUUGGGGGAAGUUAUUGUUCUCAUUUUCUACUCACUGAGAUCAUAUUGAUUUGAGAUUUGAAGUUUCUUUUCUUCUAACCUCUCUGGGAAAGGGACUGGAGGUGAUCAUGAAGAAUGCAACUGCUGUACUGUUGAACUGUAGCAGCUAAUCAAUUGUAAUGCAUCUCAGAUUGAUUUAUCAUCUUAAGCUUGUUUCAUUCUAACCUCUAUAUUAAAGAGAGUGUUUAUCACAGGUAGAAUUUAGGAAAAAUUUAUUCUGGCAUGUAGUUUUCAGAUGGUAUGUUCAAAUUAGAUUUAUUUUAUAUUUCUGAACAAACUUUCUGAUUCUUCAUGGAGCGAAUUGAAUUAUGUUUGGUUUA